AUGAACGCUAGCUACAGGCUUAACACAUGCAAGUCGAGGGGCAGCAUGGACCCAGCUUUGCUGGGUUUGAUGGCGACCGGCGCACGGGUGAGUAACGCGUAUCCAACCUGCCCUUUACUCCGGGAUAGUCUCCUGAAAGGGAGUUUAAUACCGGAUGUGUUUGUCUUUCCGCAUGGGAGCGACAAAUAAAGAUUAAUUGGUAAAGGAUGGGGAUGCGUCCCAUUAGCUUGUUGGCGGGGUAACGGCCCACCAAGGCGACGAUGGGUAGGGGUUCUGAGAGGAAGGUCCCCCACAUUGGAACUGAGACACGGUCCAAACUCCUACGGGAGGCAGCAGUGAGGAAUAUUGGUCAAUGGGCGGGAGCCUGAACCAGCCAAGUAGCGUGAAGGACGACGGCCCUACGGGUUGUAAACUUCUUUUAUAAGGGAAUAAAGUUCGCCACGUGUGGUGUUUUGUAUGUACCUUAUGAAUAAGCAUCGGCUAAUUCCGUGCCAGCAGCCGCGGUAAUACGGAAGAUGCGAGCGUUAUCCGGAUUUAUUGGGUUUAAAGGGAGCGUAGGCGGGCUUUUAAGUCAGCGGUCAAAUGUCGUGGCUCAACCAUGUCAAGCCGUUGAAACUGUAAGCCUUGAGUCUGCACAGGGCACAUGGAAUUCGUGGUGUAGCGGUGAAAUGCUUAGAUAUCACGAAGAACUCCGAUCGCGAAGGCAUUGUGCCGGGGCAUAACUGACGCUGAGGCUCGAAAGUGCGGGUAUCAAACAGGAUUAGAUACCCUGGUAGUCCGCACGGUAAACGAUGAAUGCUCGCUAUGGGCGAUAUAUUGUCCGUGGCCAAGCGAAAGCGUUAAGCAUUCCACCUGGGGAGUACGCCGGCAACGGUGAAACUCAAAGGAAUUGACGGGGGCCCGCACAAGCGGAGGAACAUGUGGUUUAAUUCGAUGAUACGCGAGGAACCUUACCCGGGCUUAAAUUGCAUUUGAAUAAUCUGGAAACAGGUUAGCCGCAAGGCAAAUGUGAAGGUGCUGCAUGGUUGUCGUCAGCUCGUGCCGUGAGGUGUCGGCUUAAGUGCCAUAACGAGCGCAACCCUUCUCCCCAGUUGCCAUCGGGUAAUGCCGGGCCCUCUGGGGACACUGCCAUCGUAAGAUGCGAGGAAGGUGGGGAUGACGUCAAAUCAGCACGGCCCUUACGUCCGGGGCCACACACGUGUUACAAUGGGGGGUACAGAGGGCCGCUGUCCGGUGACGGUCGGCCAAUCCCUAAAACCCCUCUCAGUUCGGACUGGAGUCUGCAACCCGACUCCACGAAGCUGGAUUCGCUAGUAAUCGCGCAUCAGCCAUGGCGCGGUGAAUACGUUCCCGGGCCUUGUACACACCGCCCGUCAAGCCAUGAAAGCCGGGGGUACCUGAAGUACGUAACCGCAAGGAGCGUCCUAGGGUAAAACUGGUAAUUGGGGCU
rnacentral:rRNA from 1 species